UACAGAGGGUGCGAGCGUUGUUCGGAAUUAUUGGGCGUAAAGGGCGCGUAGGCGGCUUGGCAAGUGGAUGGUGAAAUCCCUCGGCUUAACCGAGGAACUGCCGUCCAAACUGCUUCGCUUGAGACCGGGAGAGGUGAGUGGAAUUCCCAGUGUAGCGGUGAAAUGCGUAGAUAUUGGGAGGAACACCAGUGGCGAAGGCGGCUCACUGGACCGGUACUGACGCUGAUGCGCGAAAGCGUGGGGAGCAAACGGG
rnacentral:rRNA from 1 species